GCACCCAUGGCCUGAUGGAUAAGGCGCUUGACUUCUAAUCAAGCGAUUUCCCACUGGGUGUG
rnacentral:tRNA from 1 species